rnacentral:rRNA from 1 species
GGGCAUGCGUAGCUACACAUGCAAGUCGAACGGCAGCACAGAGGAGCUUGCUCCUUGGGUGGCGAGUGGCGGACGGGUGAGGAAUACAUCGGAAUCUACUUUUUCGUGGGGGAUAACGUAGGGAAACUUACGCUAAUACCGCAUACGACCUACGGGUGAAAGCAGGGGACCUUCGGGCCUUGCGCGAUUGAAUGAGCCGAUGUCGGAUUAGCUAGUUGGCGGGGUAAAGGCCCACCAAGGCGACGAUCCGUAGCUGGUCUGAGAGGAUGAUCAGCCACACUGGAACUGAGACACGGUCCAGACUCCUACGGGAGGCAGCAGUGGGGAAUAUUGGACAAUGGGCGCAAGCCUGAUCCAGCCAUACCGCGUGGGUGAAGAAGGCCUUCGGGUUGUAAAGCCCUUUUGUUGGGAAAGAAAUCCAGCCGGCUAAUACCUGGUUGGGAUGACGGUACCCAAAGAAUAAGCACCGGCUAACUUCGUGCCAGCAGCCGCGGUAAUACGAAGGGUGCAAGCGUUACUCGGAAUUACUGGGCGUAAAGCGUGCGUAGGUGGUUGUUUAAGUCUGUUGUGAAAGCCCUGGGCUCAACCUGGGAACUGCAGUGGAAACUGGACAACUAGAGUGUGGUAGAGGGUAGCGGAAUUCCCGGUGUAGCAGUGAAAUGCGUAGAGAUCGGGAGGAACAUCCAUGGCGAAGGCAGCUACCUGGACCAACACUGACACUGAGGCACGAAAGCGUGGGGAGCAAACAGGAUUAGAUACCCUGGUAGUCCACGCCCUAAACGAUGCGAACUGGAUGUUGGGUGCAAUUUGGCACGCAGUAUCGAAGCUAACGCGUUAAGUUCGCCGCCUGGGGAGUACGGUCGCAAGACUGAAACUCAAAGGGAAUUGACGGGGGCCCGCACAAGCGGUGGAGGUAUGUGGUUUAAUUCGAUGCAACGCGAAGACCCUUACCUGUCCUUGACAUGUCGAGAACUUUCCAGAGAUGGAUUGGUGGCUUUCUGGUACUCGAACACAGGUGCUGCAUGGCUGUCGUCGGCUCGUGUCUUGAUAUGUCGGAUAAGUCCCGCUACCAAGCGAACCCUCGUUCCUUACUUGCGGCGUCUUAAUGCGAGGGAACGUCUGAGCGAGACUGCUCUGAUAACUAACCGCCGCUGGAAGCGCGACGGAGAGAAGAAAGGGGGAGAUGGGCUUCUGAUGUGCACUGGGGGCUUCUAUCCCUCCUCUUGACGACACGGCAGUGCAUGGAUUUGGUGGUGGGAAGGAUCGUUUACGUACAGAUG